rnacentral:rRNA from 1 species
UACGUAGGGUGCAAGCGUUGUCCGGAAUUAUUGGGCGUAAAGAGCUCGUAGGCGGUUUGUUGCGUCGGCUGUGAAAUCCCGAGGCUCAACCUCGGGUCUGCAGUCGAUACGAGCAAACUAGAGUGUUGCAGGGGAGACUGGAAUUCCUGGUGUAGCGGUGAAAUGCGCCAGAUAUCAGGAGGAACACCGGUGGCGAAGGCGGGUCUCUGGGCCAACACGAGACG